rfam:Staphylococcus hyicus strain ATCC 11249, complete genome.
CUCUUAUCUAGAGUGGUGGAGGGAUGUGCCCUAUGAAGCCCGGCAACCGUCUAAAUUUAGAAAUGGUGCCAAUUCACAUAAAGUAUUUAUACUUUUGAAGAUGAGAG